rnacentral:rRNA from 1 species
UGACCUCAAAUCAGGUACGCUAACCGCUGA